AGUCAAUCAGAUUUUGAAAUCGAGGACAACAGGAAGUCUGAAAAAACAAAGAAGUCAUUUUCAUCUCAUCAGCCCUAGAUGAAGAUGAUUAGAGGGGACCAAAAAAAAAACAAAACAGCUAAUGGGACUGUAUUUUUCUUUUUUAUCACAUCUCGUACAGACACUCACGAAAGAGGACUUCCAGAACAGCUUGAUAAAGUCGCAGUGAGAACGGGGUUCGCAAAAGAGUGCCCUGGGCUCGGGGACUGAUAUGUUAGAUUGUGUCGCUCCUCUGCACAAGUCCUCCAGAGACUUCCCACUCCGAUACCGGUGAGAUAUCUGUAUCUGCGCUCAUUACCUCUUUGACCUAUCCUCUAGGAUUCUCUUCCUUGCUUACUUCACUGCAGCAUACUGGCCCCUCACUCUUUGUCCUAGAAGGAGGCACACACUGUUCCCGUUGCCUGACACUUUUCCUUCACAGGUUGUCAUGGCUCAUGGUCUCUCCUCAGGUUUUUGCUCAAAUAUCUCUGCUUCUCAGUGAAGACUUCUCCAAGGCAUCCUGUGCAAGCUUACAGCCCUCCCUCCAUGACAUUUUCUAUUUCCUCUUUUUUUUUCCUGAGUACUUACGUCAUCUACUGUAUUACCUACUUGCGUAUUUAUUUUGUGAAUUAUUCCUCUCACUAUCAACUCCAACUCCCACAUUGUCAUGCAAGAUCAAUGAGACGGGAUUGCAUUGUUCUGUUCACUGUUAGUUCACUAGAACAGAGGUUAGAUAGGUACUUUGCAUGAUAGGUGCCUAAAAGCAUUUGAUGAAUA